rnacentral:rRNA from 1 species
AACGAACGCUGGCGGCAUGCCUAACACAUGCAAGUCGAACGAACCCUUCGGGGUUAGUGGCGCACGGGUGCGUAACGCGUGGGAAUCUGCCCUUGGCUUCGGAAUAACAGUUAGAAAUGACUGCUAAUACCGGAUGAUGUCUUCGGACCAAAGAUUUAUCGGCCAGGGAUGAGCCCGCGUAGGAUUAGGUAGUUGGUGGGGUAAAGGCCUACCAAGCCGACGAUCCUUAGCUGGUCUGAGAGGAUGAUCAGCCACACUGGGACUGAGACACGGCCCAGACUCCUACGGGAGGCAGCAGUGGGGAAUAUUGGACAAUGGACGCAAGUCUGAUCCAGCAAUGCCGCGUGAGUGAUGAAGGCCUUAGGGUUGUAAAGCUCUUUUACCAGGGAUGAUAAUGACAGUACCUGGAGAAUAAGCUCCGGCUAACUCCGUGCCAGCAGCCGCCGUAAGAC